UGAUGAUUGUUAUCAACCGUCUUUUUCAGACAGUAUUACAAUAUUAACAUCGCAUGCUUUCCGUAAUUAUAAAAUUCAUGUUUCUAUAUCUUAUAAAAACAUAUUUCCCAAGCGUAACUUUAAUGGUUUUUCGCUUUAAUUAUAACUACCCAUUAAGGAAUUAAUAAUGACAUUGUAUCUUGCUCAUGUAGGGAAUUCAUACCAGAGUUACUGAUGUCCCAUGACUUUUUAAGAAAAGAAAUUAAUUAACUAGAACGAUUUUAUUCCACGCCUAGUCGAGAUAACCCAUGUUGAGGGAGAGGAAAGAGUUUCUGACGAUGAGAAAAAGUAACAUGAAAGUUUGUAGUAGCCGAUGAAUGACAAAAGAAACUUCAGAAGCAAGAAAAGAAAUUAUGUCACACUGAAGGAUGUUUAGUUUACCAGCAUUUUAUGUAAAGGUGGAAAAAGCAAUUGGGGGAGCCCAGAAGAGGUUGGAAUCGACAAUCUGGAUGUGAUUUUUUUUACUUUUUAAUAUAUCACGUAUUAUAUCCUAUAAAGCCGUGCACACCGGCUACCCGCUAAACAGCAAACUGCAAUACACUCAAACAUAUAA